ACCACUGUGAUGUAGUGAUUUGAGUGUUGGACUGUGACUCAGGAGGCCAGGGUUCGAAUCCCUGCUAGGUCA